UAGCAGGAUUUGAAGAGAGUACGGGGUGUCCUUACCAUGGAGGGGCAGCUGACCAUGAGCUGUAAGAUUGUGAGGGGUUCAGGCAAGAAGUCCGAAACUUAUUGUCUCUCAAGGUUCUGAGAUGCCAGACAAGGCUGAAGACGGAAAAGGGAGUGAACACCACUGGAUAUAGCCAGAAUGCUUCUACCUCCAAACCCAGAAUCACCUUCUCACCCCCGGUAGCCUCACCGCCGGUAACGGUUAUCCGAACUCCACCUCAGCUCCCCAUCACCAAUACUCACGCUGUCCCUUGGAACUAUAACUUCCAAGUUUUCACUCAGGGAGCGUCAAGCAGUACAUCCGCUCCUAGUCUUGCCUCACCUCCGGCACCACCAAAACCAUGUUUCGCUCCUCACGAGCACUUCAGAAUGACUUAUGCUGGACCUGCUAGCAACACUACUCCCCAAACCAGUUCUAGGCCCGUUAUUGCAACAAAAUCCUCUCCACCUGAGCAAGAAGUCGAGUUUAUAACUCGAAGUGGGAGGUGUUACGGGAACGAGGAAAGAGAAAAGAGAAAAGGGAAAGUAAAGAUGGGAGAGUCAUCAAGAAACACGGAAGAGGAGGUUGAGAAAGCAGGGGAAGCAGAGCCUGUUGAGCAUAGAGAAGAUGAAGAACUGUUGCUCCAAAUAAUGAAGCAGAGCGAGUAUGACGUGGUGGAACAGUUGAGAAAGACACCCGCUCGGAUUUCGCUGUUAUCGCUGAUUUUGAGUUCGGAAGUGCACCGACAAGCCUUGCAGAGAAUCCUGGAUCAGGCCUUUGUCAACCCUGACAUUACUCCGGGGCAGUUUGAGAAGUUAGUGGGACAAAUCCAGGCAUCCAGCUCUGUAGCCUUCUCUGAAGAGGAGGUAGACCCUGCAGGCUUAGGGCAUAAUAAAGCUCUGCAUAUAACGGUAAAAUGUAAAGGCUGUAUAGUGGCCAAGGUCCUCAUCGAUAACGGAUCAGCCCUCAAUGUACUGCCUAGCGCUACCUUAGCCAGGCUGCCGGUCGACCAAUCAUAUAUACGUCAGAGUGCUAUGGUGGUAAGAGCCUUUGACGGUACCAGGAGAGAGGUACUGGGAGACAUUGACUUGCCAAUCCAAGUCGGUGCAUGCACUUUCAACGUCACGUUCCAGGUGAUGAACAUUGAGCCGGCUUACACUAUGCUGUUGGGAAGGCCGUGGAUCCAUUCUGCGAAUGCUGUUCCUUCGACUUUGCACCAGAAGAUCAAAUACAUUAAGGACGGCAAAAUCAUCACGGUGAAGGGCGAAGAGGCCAUACUAGUCACCAAGCCGCAAUCACUCCCUUAUGUGGAAGCAGCCGAGGAGUCAUUGGAAAGUUCUUUCCAGGCCCUUGAAUUGCAAGAUACUGGGAAGGAAGGGGCUAUGGCUAUGGUGGCCAAAGUGAUGUCGAGGAAUGGGUAUCAAGAAGGGAAAGGCUUGGGCACCGCCUUGCAAGGGAUCGUGGAACCCAUACCGGCUAUUCAGAAGGUGGGCCGUAGUGGUUUGGGAUAUGAGGAGGAUGCCCUCGUGGAUGGGCGAUUCUGGAUGAGGAAAAUACUUCGGGAUCAGAGGUUUGACCAGAAGAUGGGAAAGAUGAAAGUAGUCUCGAAAAUCACGGAGAUCUUCACCAAACCGGUCAUUCAACAUCCGGCAAGUACAGAAGAAUCACCUGAUGAUCCAUCCAUAGAUGUCAUCCAACUGGAUUCCUUGUAUGAGGCCCUAGUUUCGCCAAUGGCUGAGGAGCAGGAGCUUGACAACUGGACAACGGAGGAUAUCCCUGUACUCAAUCUCGAGUAAAGUACCUCUGGUUAUCUACACUUGAUCACUUUGUCCAUGGUGACAAGUGUAAUACUGUAAAUGGACCUUUUCUUAUGGCAUUAAUAUUAAUGAAUUGAUAGCGCAUUUUAAAUCCAAUACUCUCUUUCCUUUUUAAUUCCAUCCUUAUAACAUGUUCUAUUCUUUAUUCAUUCAGGACCAUUCAUCAAUUAACACCUAAUAAUCCAAUAGACUCAGAAAUUCCUCUGGUUAAUUUUGAAAUCCCCAUAACUGCCAUUACUUCAAGUGAUUCUGAGGAAGACCUUACAGAAGAAAGCAAUGAAAAAGAUGAACCCUCCCUCGUGCCUUGUGAAGACGAAACGCGCACGAUAAACUUAGGCACAGAAGAAGUAAAAAGAGAACUUAAGGUAGUGGAGAGUGAGGAAUUGGGAGAUAUGAUCAGUUUGCUCAGAGAAUUCCUGGACGUAUUUUCCUGGAGCUAUGAUGAUAUGGUGGGUUUGGACCCUCAGAUAGUAACGCACAAAAUUCCCUUAAUCCCAGGAACAAUUCCGGUGAAGCAGAAACUAAGGAGAAUGAAUCCCGACACACUGCUCAAGGUUCGGGAUGAAGUCAAGAAACAGUAUGACGCCGGAUUCUUGGAAGUGGUCAAGUAUCCCCAAUGGGUGGCUAAUGUCGUCCCAGUAAUGAAGAAAGACGGGAGAGUCAGGGUGUGUGUUGACUACAGGGACCUUAAUAAAGCUAGCUUGAAAGACGAUUUCCCUCUCCCCCACAUUGAUGUGUUAGUAGACAAUGCUGCGGGAUUGGGCAGGUGUUCGUGUAUUGAUGGGGCAUCAGGGUACAAUCAGAUCCCAAUGGACGAGGAAGACAAGGAUAAAACUGCUUUCAUCACCCAAUGGGGAGUAUUCUGCUAUCGGGUCAUGCCCUUCGGGUUGAAAAAUGCAGGGGCUACUUACCAGCGCGCAAUGGUCACAUUAUUCCACGAUAUGAUGCAUAAAGAAGUGGAGGUGUAUGUGGAUGAUAUGAUCAUCAAAUCCCGGGGAGAGGAGAGCCACGUUCAGGUGAUAAGGAGGGUGUUCGAAAGGCUCAGGAAAUACCAGUUGAAGCUGAACCCUGCUAAGUGCAUAUUCGGAGCUAGAUCGGGAAAACUGUUGGGAUUCAUAGUAAGCGAGAAAGGGAUAGAAGUGGAUCCAGACAAAGUUCGAGCUAUUCAAGAAAUGCCGUCCCCAAAAACAGAAAGGGAGGUGCGCAGUUUUCUAGGAAAGUUGAACUACAUUUCAAGAUUUAUUUCUAAUCUCACUGCCAAAGCUGAGCCUAUUUUCAGAUUACUCCGGAAGAACAACCCUACCCAAUGGGAUUCGGAUUGUCAAAAGGCUUUCGAGACAAUCAAGCAGUAUUUGUCAAACCCACCAGUAUUGGUCCCGCCUGUGGCAGGCAGGCCUCUGAUCCUGUACAUGGCAGUCCAACAGAGCUCUAUGGGAUGUGUUUUGGGACAGCAUGAUGAUACCGGCCGAAAAGAGAGGGCCAUUUAUUACCUGAGCAAGAAGUUCAAUGAUUGUGAGUCAAGGUACUCUUUCUUAGAAAAGACUUGCUGCGCGUUAGCCUGGACAGCAAAUCGCCUCAAGCACUACAUGUUGAAUCACAAGACAUGGCUUAUCUCCAGGAUGGAUCCUAUCAAGUAUGUAUUUGAAAGCCCAUUCGUGCCAGGAAGGAUAGCCAAGUGGCAGGUUAUACUCUCCCAAUAUGAUAUAGUCUACAUGACCCGGAAAGCGGUGAAAGGCAGCGUAAUUGCUGACCUCCUAGCAGAAAAUCCUAUCCAGGAUUAUGAAGCUCUGGAUUUUGAGUUCCCUGAUGAGCAUAUUAAUGAAGUAGAGGAGAGGCCCGCCGAUGUAUGGGAAAUGUAUUUUGAUGGAGCAGUCAAUUUAUCCGGAAACGGAAUCGGAGCUGUACUGAUAUCCCCUGAUGGGAAGCACUUCCCGAUAGCUGUCAAGUUGAGGUUUGACUGUACCAACAAUGUCGCAGAAUAUGAAGCUUGUGUAAUGGGUCUACAUGCCGCUAUAGAGAUGAAAAUCAGAAAGUUGGAGGUGUAUGGAGACUCGGCUCUGAUAAUUUAUCAGGUCAAGGGAGAAUGGCAAACCAAGGAUCCCAAGCUAAUUCCCUAUCAGAAGCACUUACUGGAGAUGAUCAAGGAAUUCGAAGAAAUCUCUUUCACUCAUCUUAGCAGGGACAAGAAUCAAUUUGCUGAUGCUUUAGCUACUCUAGCCGUUAUGGCCCAAAUGGAAGAAGGGCAGACAACUCAAGCAUUGAGGGUCAAAGCAAGGGAUGAGCCAGCUUAUUGCUUCAUGAUUGAAGAAGAGCCCGACGGAAAGCCUUGGUAUCAUGACAUCCUGGUCUACUGUAGAACCGGAGAAUUCCCUUCAGGGGCAAGCAAAAAUGAAAAGAAGAUGAUUCGGAGAUUAGCAUUGGGAUACUUCCCCAGUGGAGAAACCCUAUACAAGAGGAGCUCCAACGGCAAAUUACUGAGAUGUGUAGAUACGAAAGAAGCAAAGAGAAUCCUCUUCGAGACACAUGAGGGAAAUUGUGCGACCCAUGCCAAUGGACACAUAAUGGUUAAGCAAAUCAUGCGACGUGGGUAUUUUUGGACCACAAUGGAAAAGGAUUGCAUCGAGUAUUUCCGAAAGUGCCAUAAGUGUCAGAUUUAUGCCGAUCCGAUAAAUGUGCCACCUCACAAGCUGUUCAAUCUCGUCUCACCGUGGCCUUUUGCAAUGUGGGGCAUAGAUGUGAUUGGUCCCAUCAAUCCCAAGGCAUCCAAUGGGCACAGAUUCAUCCUUGUGGCCAUUGACUAUUUCUCCAAGUGGGUUGAAGCAAUGUCAUACGCCCACAUCACACAGAACACAUUUCUCAAAUUCUUCAGAAGCAAUAUCAUCUGCCGGCAUGGUCUCCCGAAUGAAAUUGUC
rnacentral:misc_RNA from 1 species